rnacentral:rRNA from 1 species
UUUAAAACAUGGUCUUUUGUUUAUAUAAAAGGUUUGACCUGCUCUAUGAUUUAUUUAAUGGCUGCAGUAUAUUGACUGUACAAAGGUAGCAUAAUCAUUUGUCUUUUAAUUGAAGUCUAGAAUGAAUGGUUUGAUGAGAAAUAUACUUUCUUUAUUUUAUAUUAAAAAUUUAAUUUUUUAGUUAAAAAGCUAAAAUUUUUUUAUUGGACGAGAAGACCCUAUAGAACUUUAUUUUGAUUGUUUUAUGUUUAAUAUAGAAUAUAUUUUGAUUAUAAGAUAUUUAGAAUUUUGUUGGGGUGACAGAAAAAAUUAAAUAACUUUUUCUAUUUUAAUCAUAGAUUAAUGUAUUUUUGAUCCUAUUGUUUGGAUGGAAGAUUAAGUUACCUUAGGGAUAACAGCGUUAUUAUUUCAGAGAGUUCUUAUCGAUGGAAUAGUUUGCGACCUCGAUGUUGGAUUAUAAUAAGAUAUAGGAGUAGAAUAUUAUAUUCUAGGUCUGUUCGACCUUUAAAUUUUUACAUGAUCU